UACGGAGGGUGCAAGCGUUAUCCGGAUUCACUGGGUUUAAAGGGUGCGUAGGUGGGCAGGUAAGUCAGUGGUGAAAUCUCCGAGCUUAACUCGGAAACUGCCAUUGAUACUAUCUGUCUUGAAUUAUCUGGAGGUGAGCGGAAUAUGUCAUGUAGCGGUGAAAUGCUUAGAUAUGACAUAGAACACCAAUUGCGAAGGCAGCUCACUACGGAUAUAUUGACACUGAGGCACGAAAGCGUGGGGAUCAAACAGG
rnacentral:rRNA from 2 species